rnacentral:lncRNA from 1 species
GGCGCCCUCCCUUUGACCUAAAUCCUAAUCUCAAUUCUAUAUAAAGGGGGCUCCUAUCUUGGAUGUCCCAUCUUGAUUUUCUUUGCUGGUUUUUAUUUUUUUAGAGCUCCUCCUCCUCUUCCUCUCUUCUGUCUCUAGAUCUCUUCAUCCUUUAGAGCAUCCAAGGUCCUUGAAGAAGAAGAAAGAAAUCAGCCUCCAAGUUCCUUGCAAGCUAGCACUUCCAAGGCCCCUGAUCUGCACCGGUCAUUGUGUGAAUGUGCUAUAGAGG